GCGCCUUUAGCUCAGUUGGUAGAGCAACUGACUCUUAAUCAGUGGGUCCAGGGUUCGAGUCCCUGAAGGCGCACCA
rnacentral:tRNA from 1 species